rnacentral:lncRNA from 1 species
UUGUGUUAAUUUAUUCAAUGUUGGAGUAAACUAUCAGUAUGUUUGAAUAGAAAUAAUUGUGUGUUAAACAUGUUAACUUACUUUGGAUAAUUGACAAACUGUUUAGGCGGAUAAUAAUAAAGUUAUACAAAAGCGUGGCGUAUAGUCAUCUGGCGAAUAGAUUUUGGGCGGGAAUUUUCUAGUAGAUCACCUUAGCAUGUUUUGUUUUUUUUUUAAUCGUACAACAUUUUAACGACUUUAAAAAUAGAUUUCUUUGAUGGUUUUGUUUUGUGAAUGUCUCUAUUCUACUGUAGCAUCUCGUAAUUUAGGCCCGAUGACCAAGCCAGACGAAUGGUGUUACACUUCUCUUUUUACAAUAAGGCGAACCUGUCAUCCACUAGAAUUAUGCCAUGGUUAGUCAUGGACCUUCGACUCCAAUGAGUCAUUAAACAUUCUCAUUGUAUCGCUCCAUAAAGCUAGUGUACAGCCCAAAUUUUCCCGGGCCUCCAAACCAAAUGGUCCAAAUCCAUUUACAAAAUUUUAACCCAAUCCUGAAGCCUAAUUACAAUACCCGGCCCAAAGCCCAACAGCCCCAAAAAAACCUAAUGGUCAAACUAGGGUUUUAGUUUUCUGAAACCCUAAUCUCUACUGUAGGUGGCCGCUAGUCCCAUCAUCACCCUACCUCCGCGCCAUCGACCCUGGUCACCUCAGCCACCUGCUUUCUGCCCACCUGCAAAACGAAAAAGAACACGCAAUGGCAGCCCAAAUAGCAGAGAAGCAAUAACAAACAGAGAAAAAGCAAAUAGGCAUUUUGGCUAUAAAAUCAAGAAAUUCAAUGUAAUCAGGGGGCAAAAUCACUGUAAUCGGGGGUAUUUUUCUUUUAUUUUGUUCUUCUUUUCUUUCGGUUAAAACCGAAUCUGCUGUAAGGAAGAAGAAGUUAUUCCUUUGCUUCUACGAUUAUUGAGAAAUAAAAACAAAAACAAAACAAACUUUUGAAGUUUUUUUUUUUUAGAUUUGCGUUUAUGUUUAUUUCAUUUUAUUUUAUUUUUAUUUUAUUUUCUACAUAAGAAAUAAAUAAUAAAAAGGGAAGGACGAGGACUUACCUGCGCCGUCGCCGGACCUAAAUCGGAAAGAGGGUGGGUUGAGUCUCUCAUCUUCGCUUUUAGGGAUCGAAAAACCCAUAUAUUUAGGUUCAUAUUAGAGCUCGGAAAUAGGGGACCUCCUCUCGCCGUGUCGGCCUUUGGCAGGGGUGACUGCACGGCGAAUCGCCGUCAAGGUUGGCGCCGGAUCUCAGAGGGCCAAAAGGGAUGGAGGCUCUGCUUUUUUUUUUAUUUUUUUGAGGCUGCUGAAAUAAACUAGGGUUUUUUUAAGGGAUUUUAAAAGCUUCAUUAAACGGCGCCGUUUUGGUGUUUGGCCCGUGACCCGACCCAAUGGCCCCUAGGAUCCGCGUGUUUCUGCGGUGAGGGGAUAUUUUGCGCGCAAGGCCCUUCCUCUUUGAGCUGUAGUGCAAUCGGGUCUUUCUGGUUUUUAUAUUUUGGCCGCAUAAUUUUUUGAUAGUUCCAUUUUUGUCCGAAAUGGAACACUGAGCUUGAGGGAGGGGAAUAUUUCCUAAUCGAUCCCUCAUCCCUUAAGCGUGUUUCAUUUUAGCCUCAAAUUACCCUUUUUACUUAUUUAUGUUUCAACCCCCAAAGUUCACCUUAAGUUUUAAUUUAAUCCUUUUGUAUUUUGUUUAUUUUCCUAUUAAAUAAUAAAUUUGAUGUUAUACUAUUGUUAAUUAUUAUUGCUGUUACUUGCUCAUUUAUACCUUUAAAAUUUUAAAUUUUAUCAUAUAUAUAUAUGUAUAUCUUUAUCUUUAUUUUUUAUAUUUUCAUAUUUUAUAAUUUGUAUCUAUGUAUCUAUAUACAUACUUUUAUUCCUAUAAAAAUAUACGCAUACCUAUAUGUUCUACAUUUUCAUAUAUUUUUACACACAUAUAUUUUUAUGCUUUAUAUUUCUAACAUACGUACAUAUAUAUAUAUAUAUAUUUUUAUAUAAUUUUAUUCAUUAUUAUUGUUUCACUUGGUGUUCAUUUAUUUAUUUAUUUACAUGCUCAUUAUUAUUAUUAUUUACUUAAGUGUUUUAGUUUGUAUUCGCAAAUCUACUUUUAUUUGUGUAUACAUUGUUGAUUUCUUUUUAUUAUACAUUUACCAUCUUAUUUAUCCUUUUUAUUUGCAUGUAUUAUUUUAUUUACAUUAUCAUCAUCAUUCCAUUACCCCCAUUUUUUUUAUUUAGAUUUAAAAAAAAUUUAAAAAUAUAAGUAAUAUUCGGUAUUUAGGAUCUUCGAGAGAAUCGAGCCCUAACGUAUUGAGUUUCGACUUUCUGCGUUGAAUUUAAAUAAUCGAGAUUACUCUUUUAAAAAUGAUAAAAAGCUCGUUAUCGAGAAUUCAAUACAUUGUGUCCUAACGCAUUGGACGUGACACGUUGUUUUCUCGAGACGAAGAUUUUUCGAAAUAAAUGCAAUAUUCAAUGUUUAAUAUUUUGAGAAAUUGUGCCCUAACGUAUUAGGUUGUGAUUUCUUCAUUUGAUUUAAGCAAUUAAAUAUUAUUUUAAACUUUAUUACACGAAUAUUUUCAAACUCAAGUAUUAAACGAUAUUGGGAUUUAAAAAAGGAUCAUGUCCUAACUUACUGGUCGUGAUCCUUUUUUUUAAUCCAAAAUAGUUAAAUAUCUUUUAAAUAAGUAAAUUUUUGACAUUUAUUCGUGUAUUAGGAAUUCGAGACAUUGUGUCCUAACUUACUGGAUAUGAUGCUUGUUUUUUCGAUUAACGUGAAAUAUGCCCCAUUUUCUCAAAAUUUUCAACAUUUUAAUUCAAGGAUCGUAUUUUUAAAAUUCUUCAAAGUUUUCAAUUUUCGACAUUAAGACGUCAGCUAAUCAACUAGGUACCAAUUUUGGGCGUUACGAGGGUGCUAAUCCUUCCUCGUACAUAACCGACUCCCGAACCCGUUUUUCUGAAUUUUGUGGACCAAACUUGUUGUUUUAAUAAAAUCAAAUCAUUAUUAAAACAACCACUUUUCGAGGUGAUCCGCUCACACCUCAUAAAAAAGGAUCGGUGGCGACUCCCAUUUUCGUUUUCAUUUUUCAAAACCCAAGUCGACCCCAUUUUUGUCAAAAAAUAGUGUCAACAGCUUGGCGACUUCGCUGGGGACCAAAAUAAGUGAGUCAAGCCACGAGUUGAUUAAUCUUUAUCUUUUUGUCGAAAAUCGAAAACUUGGUUUAAAUAUACGAUCCUUUCGUUGCAUUUCACUCAUCUUUAUUACGAUAUUCAUCAUGGUGGUUUAUAAUUGCCCUGUUUGUUUAAAUUUGUGUAUCUUUCUGCACAUUGCAUUGCAUGACCGUUGGUCACACCCUUUUAAGUGGGAGUGAGAAGCUACGCCUUCGUGAGGUUUUCACCUCCGCAUGGGAUAGUGAAUCACUUUCGGGAUAUAUCCGUACCUAUGUCUUAGUGAGAUUUUCAUCUCCGCAUGGCCAUAGGGAAAUGUAUCCCCCUGAACUGAACCCAAUCUAUAUGACCCUAAUCGGUGAGGAUCGAGGAAUAUGCUGGUUCGGGUACCCUUACUUUAGAACCAAACCUCAUGUAGUGAACCUUAGGAGCCCACCCUAGGUAAAACCACUUCGAACCCUUAGUGGUCACCCGAAUAGGUGUUCUAUUUAUUCUUGCUUGAUUUUGCUUUGGACUAACUUGUUUUCUUUUUUUUUAUGACUGCAUUGCAUUUUCAUCAUAGAAAAGAGGUGUUGAUUCAAAUUUGAUUGCUAAAUAGAAAAGCUUGUCAUGGAAAACGAAUUUCUUGAUAAAGUAGGAUAUGAUGCGACUGCCUGACUAUGGACUGAUUAAACACAACGAGAGAAGGCUAGAAGUCCUUGGAGGAAUAUACGACUAUGCUUUGCCACUUGAGGAUUCAAACCGACAAAGAUAAUUUGAAACCAGUCACGAAACUAAAGAGCAUCGUGGGGGAGCAUUGGGUUGUAGCUCGGAUCAAACAAGAAGGAGAUAGUAGAGACAGAUUUUGGAAAUUCGUAAGAUUUGAUCUUAGCAUUCAUAUAAAGAAGGAGAUCAAUGUAUUCGCCUGGAAUAUGAGGGUAAAGCCACAUAUGUAAUCUAUUUUAUGUAAAGAAAUUUGUCUUCUAGAAAAGUUGCUCUAAUAGAAUUGAAUUCAGAAUCAAUGCCUCUCUUUCUUUUUGUAUUCAUUUCAUGCAUUUGUAUUACAGUGCAUCAUUUGCAUUAGAUUUUCACAAAAUGACCUAAUUAGGUAAAAUUAUUUCAGCUAACCUGGAAACUAAUAAGAGUCAACCAAUCGAACAUCACUACGGUACCCGUCUCAAGAGAAAAGUAAUGGAUUAGAGGUUAGAAAGAUUGGAACAAUUGCAAAAAGAAAUGCAAGAUAAGAUGCAAGAACAAUUGGAUAAAAUCCAACAAGACGCGCUGGAAUCCCAAAGAAUUAUGAGCCAACUGACACAAUUAUUGGCUGAUAAAGGAAAGAGCCCUGUAAUCAAUUCGGGAUUUGAUCAGGAGGGCCCUGUUUAUCCUCCAAGUUUUGCCCCAACGGACACUCAAGCACAACCGGAUAUGUAUCCACAUAGAGCGCGUGAUCGCAUUAGACCUCAAUGCCAAGUCGGUGCCUCGGCACCAAUGAACUACCUGACAGGCUCAGGUUCCAAUCAAAGGAACGAUCCAACCAAUCUUGUAGUUCCUGAUUUAGACAAAAUGGUAGAAGCAAGGGUAGAACUACCAAAGCAAUUCAAAGAUCAGUUUAGGUGGUUGGAAGAAAAACUCAAAGCAAUGGAGAAUGCUGAUUACCCUUGCAGGGUUGACGCCAAGGAUCUAAGUUUGGUCCCAAAUCUAGUACUCCCGCUGAAAUUCAAGGCUCCAGAAUUCAAAAAAUACAAUGGGACUAGUUGUCCUGAAGCUCACAUCACGAUGUUCUGCCGAAGAAUGACAAGAUAUAUUGAUAACGAUCAACUGUUAACUCAUUGCUUCCAAGAUAGUCUGAUCGGGUGGGCUGCCAAAUGGUACAACCAGUUGAGCCAUGCCAAUAUCCACUCAUGGAAAGACUUGGUACAGGCUUUCAUGAAGCAAUAUGGCCACGUGACAAACAUGGCACCUGACAUAGUUACACUACAGAACAUGGAAAAGAAGCAAAGUGAGAGCUUCAGAUAAUAUGCCCAAAGAUGGAGAGAGGUAGCAACGCAAGUCCAACCACCUCUUCUGGAAAAAGAAACCACGGUGCUUUUCGUCAACACUCUGAAAACCCCAUUCAUUAACCACAUGUUGGGAAGUGCUACCAUGAGCUUCUCAGAUAUGGUAAUGUCUGGCGAGAUGAUUGAGAAUGCCAUAAGAAGUGGAAAGAUAGAUACGAAAGAAAGCUUCAAAAGAUCAACCCCAAAGAACAAAGAAAAUAAAGUAAGCAACCUGAGCAUGUAUAAUGAAGGGUAUCCCAAAUCGAUCAUUAUGCCCCAACCAAGGGUCAUAACUAUCGGCUAUCACAGUAUUAAAAUCGUAUCCAAAAAGGGGGUUGGUUAGGAGAACACUUGGAAGCGUAUUUAAUAGUAAGACUAUGGAAGAGAUCCUUGUAUUUUUUGAGCUAAUUCGGAGUAAUGUCCAAAACACGCUUAUUGCUCUAAGCCUAGGGGCAAUAAGAAUCCUUUUGUGAGAUAGGCUUAUGUCGAACAUCUUUAUUUCAAUAAAAUGCAUCUUUGUUUCUCACUUCGAGUAAAUAUUCUUUUAUUGUUUCCAUUUCAUUCAUAAUCAUACUAUACAGAUAAAUAUUCGUAGAUUCUUUUAUUCUUUGGAUCUACUUUUAUCCUAUAACAGGUCUCCAGGUAUCAAUGAUAUGAGCAACACUGAUAUUGACUCAGAACCUCCUUUUGAGCAGGAUAUGUGUCUAGAGGAACCUCGGGACUUUGGAGAUAACUGAGACUAUAGCUUAUCUCCUGAUUUGUUCCGGAUGGUAGAACAAGAUCCUACCUUACAAGGAAUCUAUGGAAGUCAUGGCAUUCCUCUAUGUGGGGCAUGGAUGUCAUUGAGCCAAUCUCGCCUAAGGUUUUUGGCGAUCAUCAAUUCAUCUUUAUGAUCGUCGAUUAUCUCAAUAAGUGGGCAAAAGCUACUUCAUAUGCCGAUGUCACAAAGUCAACGGUCAGCAAAUUCCUGAAAAAGAAAUCAUAUGUCAGUAUGAAAUACCGAAAAGGAGCAUACCUGACAAUGCACUAAAAUUGAACAACGGCACGAUAUCAGAAGUUUGCAAUCUGUUCAAGGUUAACACAUUUCGCCCCAAAAUGUACGGCGCAGUGGGAGCAAAGAUAAAACAAAAAAGGAAGAGAAAAAACUGUUACCAAGGCAACACCUUGCCUUAUCGUAGUUUUUCUCAUUGAGGUCAAGAUUUUUUCUCUCCGAGUGUCGAAUCAGAUCUUGAUUGAAAAGAAAUGUUCAAAGUUAUCCGUCUUGGUCAAAGGCACCAAAAAAAAAAGACGCGAGCUCAUCAGAGAAGGUUCGCCCUAGAGAGUUCCAUGAAGGAGACCUAACAUCGAAGAAAAUCCUCCCCAUACAAAAAGGGCUUUAGCAGAAAGAAGAUGUCAAACUGAAAAAGACCUUAUGUGGAAGGUUUUAUCUAGAGAAGUGUUGAUUUUGACCAGAAAGGAUAGCAAGGACUUACCUGAUCCUACGAGUUCGAAUUCAAUCAAAGAAUGCAAAAAGAAAAAGAAAAAGAAAAAGAAAAAGGAGAGGCCAAGGUGAAAACCCACAAAGGGCGCCUUGAGACCAAAGGGGUUUUGAAUUGAAAACCCGGGAAUAGGCAAUUCAAAUUUUGAUCAAAGGUGGGGCAUGUGGCAACUUGUUCUCCCUGAAUUAGCAAGAAGGUGAGACGCUACAUCUCGGGGCAUCAACACAUUCUUCUAGGACUUCUAGACACAUAUCAAGUUCAAAAGGAUCCUCAAGAAGUUUGGGGCAGAGAAGCUCAUACUACGAUACCUGGGAUACCUACUUUCAUUUUAUUCAUUGUCAUAUUUUGACAAGUACAUCAUCUUGAUUAAUUUGCUAUCAUUUUUGUAUCUUAGCAAAAUUUGCUAUCUUGAUUAUUUAUUCAUUUCGAGCUUUGCCCUCAAUAAAAUUUCAUCUUAUCCAUUGUGAUAAUUUAAUUCAUUUCGUAUCUUAGCAAAAUUUUCCAUCUUAAUUUUAAGCUUUAUUCUCAAUAAAAUUCCAUAUUAUCUAUUGUGAUAAUCCUUUUCAUCAUAUUCAUUUUGAAUCUUAGCAAAAUUUGCUAUCUUGAUUAAUUUAUUCAUCGCGAGCUUUGUUCGCAAUAAAAUUUCAUCUUGUCCAUUUUGAUAAUUUUUUUCAAGCAUUUUUUAUUGAAAUAAUGAUUAAUGGACUGAUAAUAUUCAAGCAAAAGGAGUUUUUCAUAUUACUCUGAAAGCUUCUAAAUAAUACAGGAACCUGAAACAGGACUAUUGUUUAGAACACACCAAGUUUAAAGGUUGAAAUGUCUAAGAAUAAAAAGUCUAAAUUAAGACUAUCCUUUUAGAUUUUUUUUUUCAAGUAUGGGUUGAACGAAACGACGAAAUGUCGUGUUGGUGACAAAGCUUCAAUGAACAAACAAGCAAUGAUCACCGAGUGAUAAAAAGAGGUUAUUGGAAGAGAAAAUUCCACAAUGUUGCAUAAAAAUUUGGUACAACACCCUGGGAAUGGUGUAGAAGACCAAAGAGAUUUAGAUCCUGUAUCCCUGAAUUACAGUAGGAGAGGAUUGAGAAAGAGCCAGAUCUUAUACUCAGUGGGAGGAAGAUGGCUCGAACUUUAUGUCCCAAAAUUAUCGUGGGCUUAACCUUGAAGAUUACGACAGAUUAAACUUUGAAAAUUAUAGUAGGGGCAAUCCGAUCAAGUAAAAGAUGAGCAUUACCAACUGGACAAAAUAGCAUUUGGACAUGUUGGCAAUAAAGCCUUAUUGAGCAAUGGGCAAUAACAACUCAAACAUUGAAAGAUCAUUUUCAUUUUGCAUUCAUACAUACAUAUUUAGCCAGGAUAUUUUGAUUCAUUUCGAUCAUAAUCACUAGGCAUAAAUAGGUUCAUAAAAUAGAUUAUAUAGGUCAUGUUCCCCAAAGAACAGAUCAAUGAAGACGGCAGAUCUUGCCUUCCUGAACUGACAGUGAGGCAGAUCGAAGAAACCAUAGUUUGUAAUUAAAAGAUUGAAGCCACAACGGCGAAUCUUACUCUCCUAGGCGGUGCAAUGGAACAGAUUGAAGCCACAACGGCGAAUCUCACUUCCCCGACAUUGUAAUUAAAAGAUUGAGGCCACAACGGCGAAUCUUACCUUCCCAGGCGAUGUAGUGGAACAGAUUGAAGCUACAACGGUGAAUCUUGCUUCCCCGACACUGCAAUUAAAAGAUUGAAGCCACAACAGCAAAUCUUACUUUCCCAGGCGGUGCAGUGGAACAGAUUGAAGCUACAACGGUGAAUCUCGCUUCCCCGACAUUGCAAUUAAAAAUUGAAGCCACAACGGUAAAUCUUACUUUCCCAGGUGGUGCAACGGAACAGAUUGAAGCUACAACGACAAAUCUCGCUUCCCCGACAUUGCAAUUAAAAGAUUGAAGCCACAACGGCAAAUCUUACUUUCCCAGACAGUGCAAUGGAACAGAUUAAAGCUACAAUGGUGAAUCUUGCUUCCCCGACAUUGCAAUUGAAAGAUUGAAGCCACAACGGCGAAUCUUACUUUCCCAAGUGGUGCAGUAGAGCAAAUUAAAGCUACGACGGUGAAUCUUACUUCCCCGAUAUUGCAAUUAAAAAUAUUGAAGCUGCAACGGCGAAUCUUACUUCCCUGGCAGUACAGUGGAGCAGAUUAAAGCUACGACGGUGAAUCUUGCUUCCCUGAUUUUGCAAUUUAAAAGAUUGAAGCCGCAAUGAAGAAUCUUACUUCUCUGGCAGUGCAAUGGAGCAGAUUAAAGAUACGACGGCAAAUCUUGCUUCCCCGAUAUUGCAAUUUAAAAGAUUGAAGCCGCAAUGACGAAUCUUACUUCCUUGGCAGUGUAGUGGAACAGAUUGAAGCUACAACGACGAAUUUUGUUUCCCCGACAUUGCAGUUUAAAAAGAUUGAAGCUAUAUAUUGCAGAUAUUAUAUCUUUGAAGUUGCAGUAGAGUAGAUCAUAUCAAGUCUUAUCUCCCUGAAGUUGCAGUGGAGCAGACUGAAGAAACUAAUCCUAUCUCCCUAAAGUUGCAGUGGAGCGGAUUAAAAUCACAGAUCUUAUCUCUCUAAAGUUGCAGUAGAGUAGAUCACAUCCAAUCUUAUCUCCCUAAAGUUGCAGUGGAGCAGACUGAAGAAACUAAUCCUAUCUCCCUGAAGUUGCAGUGAAGCGGAUUAAAAUCACAGAUCUUAUCUCUCUAACGUUGCAGUAGAGCAGAUCACAUCCAAUCUUAUCUCCCUGAAGUUGCAGUGGAGCAGAUUGAAGAAACCAAUCAUAUCUUCCUGAAGUUACAGUGAAGCGGAUUAAAAUGAUAGGUCUUAUCUCUCUGAAGUUGCAGAAGAGCAGAUCACAUCAGACUUUAUGCAGUAAAGCAAGUCGAAAAUACCAAUCGUGUCUCCCUGAAGUUGCAGUGGAGUGGAUGAAAACGAUGAAUCAUAUACCUCUGAAGUUGCAGUAGGUCGAAUUGGAUCAAACCUUAUCUCCCUGAAGUCGCAGUGGAGUAGGUUGAAGAUACAAGUCUUAUCUCCCUGACGUUGUAGUGGAGCAGACUAGAACCACAAACAUCGCCCCCUUAAAGUUGCUGCGAAGAAGAUUGAAGCUACAAGUCAGAUCUUUCUGAAGUGCAGUGAAGUAGAUCGAAACAAUAAGACAAAGUGGACUGGAAGGAUGCUACUUGAAGAGAAGCGUCAAGAGAAGUCAAGACUCGGCGAGACCGGGAAAAUUUGGUCUUUCUUAGUCUUUGCUUCAUUCCCGUUACACGACAAUGAAGCAAAGAGGGGCAGCUGUACAGCCUAAAUUUUCCCGGGCCUCCAAACCAAACGGUCCUAAUCCAUUUACAAAAUUUUAACCCAAUCUCGAAGCCCAAUUACAAUACCCGGCCUAAAGCCCAACAGCCCCAAAAAAACCUAAUGGUCAAACUAGGGUUUCAGUUUUCUGAAACCCUAGUCUCUGCUGCAGGUGCGCCGCCAGUACCAUCACCCUACCGCCGCGCCAUCGACCCUGGUCACUUCAGCCACCUGCUUUCUGCCCACCUGCAAAACGAAAAAGAACACGCAAUGGCAGCCCAAAUAGCAGAGAAGCAGUAACAAACAGAGAAAAAGCAAAUAGGCAUUUUGGCUAUAAAAUCAAGAAAUUCAAUGUAAUCAGGGGGCAAAAUCACUGUAAUCGGGGGGAUUUUUCUUUUAUUUCUUUUAUUUUGUUCUUCUUUUCUUUCGGUUAAAACCGAAUCUGCUGUAAGGAAGAAGAAGUUUUUCCUUUGCUUCUACGAUUAUUGAGAAAUAAAAACAAAAACAAAACAAACUUUUGAAGGUUUUUUUUUAGAUUUGCGUUUCUGUUUAUUUAAUUUAAUUUUAUUUUUAUUUUAUCUUCUACAUAAGAAAUAAAUAAUAAAAAGGGAAGGACGAGGACUUACCUGCGCCGUCGCUUGACCUAAAUCGGAAAGAGGGUGGGUUGAGUCUCUCCUCUUCGCUUUUAGGGAUCGAAAAACCCAUAUAUUCGGGUUCAUAUUAGAGCUCGGAAAGGAGGGACCUCCUCGCGCCGCGUCGGCCUUUGGCCGCGGUGACUGCACGGCGAAUCGCCGUCGAGGUUGGCGCCGGAUCUCAGAGGGCCAAAAGGGAUGGAGGCUCUGCCUUUUUUUAUUUUUUUGAGGCUGCUGAAAUAAACUAGGUUUUUUUGAAGGGAUUUUAAAAGCUUCAUUAAACUACGUCGUUUUGGUGUUUGGCCCGUGAUCCGACCCGAUGGCCCCUAGGAUUCGCGUGUUUCUGCGGUGAGGGGAUAUUUUGCGCGCGAGGCCCUUCCUCUUUGAGCUGUAGUGCAAUCGGGUCUUUCUGGUUUUUAUAUUUUGGUCUCAUAAUUUUUUGAUAGUUCCAUUUUGGUCCGAAAUGGAACACUGCGCUUGAGGGAGGGGAAUAAUUCCUAAUCGAUCCCUCAUCCCUUAAGCGUGUUUCAUUUUAGCCUCAAAUUACCCUUUUUACUUAUUUAUGUUUCAACCCCCAAAGUUCACCUUAAGUUUUAAUUUAAUCCUUUUGUAUUUUGUUUAUUUUCCUAUUAAAUAAUAAACUUGAUGUUAUACUAUUAUUAAUUAUUAUUGCUGUUACUUGCUCAUUUAUACCUUUAAAAUUUUAAAUUUUAUCAUAUAUAUAUAUAUAUGUAUAUCUUUAUCUUUAUCUUUAUAUUUUUUAUAUUUUCAUAUUUUAUAAUUUGUAUCUAUGUAUCUAUAUACAUACUUUUAUUCCUAUAAAAAUAUACGCAUACCUAUAUGUUCUACAUUUUCAUAUAUUUUUACACACAUAUAUUUUUAUGCUUUAUAUUUCUAACAUACGUACAUAUAUAUAUAUUUUAUAUAAUUUUAUUCAUUAUUAUUGUUUCACUUGGUAUUCAUUUAUUUUUUUUAUUUUCAUGCUCAUUAUUAUUAUUUACUUAAGUGUUUUAGUUUGUAUUCGCAUAUCUACUUUUAUUUGUGUAUACAUUGUUGAUUUCUUUUUAUUAUACAUUUACCAUCUUAUUUAUCCUUUUUAUUUGCAUGUAUUAUUUUAUUUACAUUAUCAUCAUCAUUCCAUUACAUCCAUUUUUUUUAUUUAGAUUUAAAAAAAAAGAAAUUUUAAAAAUAUAAGUAAUAUUCGGUAUUUAGGAUCUUCGAGAGAAUUGAGCCCUAACGUAUUUAGUUUCGACUUUCUGCGUUGAAUUUAAAUAAUCGAGAUUACUCUUUUAAAAAUGAUAAAAAGCUCGUUAUUGAGAAUUCAAUACGUUGUGUCCUAAUGCAUUGGACGUGACACAUUGUUUUCUCGAGACGAAGAUUUUUCGAAAUAAAUGCAAUAUUCAAUGUUUAAUAUUUUGAGAAAUUGUGCCCUAACGUAUUGGGUUGUGAUUUCUUCAUUUGAUUUAAGCAAUUGAAUAUUCUUUUAAACUUUAUUACACGAAUCUUUUCAAACUCAAGUUUUAAACGAUAUCGGGAAUUAAAAAAGGAUCAUGUCCUAAAUUACUGGUCGUGAUCCUUUUUUUAAUCCAAGAUAGUUAAAUACCUUUUAAAUAAGUAAAUUUUUGACAUUUAUUCGUGUAUUGGGAAUUCGAGACAUUGUGUCCUAACUUACUGGAUAUGAUGCUUGUUUUUUCGAUUAACGUGAAAUAUGCCCCAUUCUCUCAAAAUUUUCAACAUUUUAAUUCAAGAAUUGUAUUUUUAAAAUUCUUCAAAGUUUUCAAUUUUCGACAUUAAGACGUUAACUAAUCAACUAGGUACCAAUUUUGAGCGUUACGAGGGUGCUAAUCCUUCCUCGUACGUAACUGACUCCCGAACCCGUUUUUCUGAAUUUCGUGGACCAAACUUGUUGUUUUAAUAAAAUCAAAUCAUUUAUUAAAACAACCACUUUUUGAGGUGAUCUGCUCACACCUCAUCAAAAAGGAUCGGUGGCGACUCUCAUUUUCGUUUUCAUUUGUCAAAACCCAAGUCGACCCCGUUUUGUCAAAAAAUGAUGUCAACAGCUAGUAAAUAAUCAUUCUCAUGGUUUUGCUUCGUAAAGCCAAUAGAUAAUUACUUUCAUAGUGUCGUUCCAUAGAGCUAGGGGUGAGUAAAACUUGAUUCGACUCGAAAAAUUCGAAAAAAAAUUUGAAUUUCGAGUUAAACGAAUCGAGUUAUUCGAGUUAAUCGAGUUAUUCGAAUCAACUCGAAUUUUUUUUCGAAUUUCGAGUUCGAAUCGAGUUGAGUUUUCAAAUUCGAAUAACUCAAAUAAUUCGAAUAAUUCGAAUAUAAAACUAUAAUAUUUUACAUUUUUACCCUAAACUCCCAAACCUUUUUACUUUUCCCUCAAAACUUUUACUCCUUUCCACUUUUCCCCCAAAACUUUUACUCCCCUCCCCUCUCAACCCCCCAAUCUACCCAAAAUCCAUUUCCCACCAAAAUUUUACUCUCCCAUUUAUUUUUUCUCAAAAUUUUACUCCCAAAAAACCCUCAAAACCUUUUAUUUUCUCCCAAAAUUUUUACUCCCUCCCACUUUUCCCCUAAAACUUUUAUUCCAUUCCCAUCCCACCUCCCAUCUACCCCAAACCGUCCCCCCUCCAAUUUUUUUAAUAUUUUCCCUCCAAAAUUUUACUCCCCCUAUUUACUUUCCCUCAAACUUUUAUUCUCCAAAACUUUUUAUUUUCCUCCUAAACUUUUACUUCUCACCCUUUACCCUCAAAUAAAAAAUCAAAAUUAUCCAAAAAAAAUUCACUAAACAUAAACAUAAAUAGUAAUAAUUUUAUUUAUAUCUACUAUUUAUAUUAUUAAAUUAAAUUUCACAUUUUAUAUUAUUUAUAUUAUUGAAUUGUUUAGUCAUAUUGAAGAUUUAUAUUAAAAUUGAAUUAUUAAUUAUGCCAUAAAAUAUUCGUGUUAAAAUUUUAUAUUGGUAUCAAUUUCACAUUUUAUUUUUAAAAUAACUUUUAUUAAAAAAAUCAUAUUUUUACAUUUAAUAUAUUUUUUAAUUCCAAAAUACAUAGUGACAAGAAUCUGAAGAUAAUUGAAACAACUAAGCAAGCAAAGAAGCUAACCAAUAUAUAAAAAAUUAAUAAAUAAAUUAUGAGGUGAUGAAAGUUAAUAAAAAAUUUGAUUAAGGUGGACAAAUUUUAUUACAAUGGGUGACAGUGGUUACAAGGACCCAAAAUUAUUUUUUUAAAAUUUAACUCGAACAAAUAUAUUCGAUUCGAUUCGAUUCGAAUUCCAUCUCACUCGACUCGAUUCGAGAAAACUUCAAAUAAAGUUAGGAUGAUGAAAUGAGAUUCGAAAACUCGAUUAACUCAAAAAUUUUCGAUUCGAUUCGAUCGAAUGCUCACGCCUACAUAGAGCCGGUAACCAUUUAUCUCACCAAACUUCCUCAAUUCCCUUUAAAUCUAUCCAUUCCUCCAAUACGUCAAUUUCCCUAUCUUCAACAACCCGCCAAACUAUUAUCAUAGUUCAGUACAUGGGUCAAAUUAUUGUAUAGAUUUUUUUACAACGAAUUAUUUAAUUAAAAGUAUCUCAAGUAUAGUGAUCACAUAAAAAUGGGAUACAUUAAAUCUUUUAAAAGUGAGUAUUCAAAUUAUUAGUGAAAUAAUUAUUGACUUAUCACUAGAUCAUACCUCUCGCUUGUAAACCUACCAUAUACCACAACUCGCAUAUAUAUCUUAAUUUCAACUAAGUUUAGUGUCCAUUUCCAUAUAAAAUAAAAAUAUUUUAUAAAACUAAAUUUUAUCAUAACGAAAAUAAUUUUAUAUUAAAAAUAUAUUUAUAAAAUUAUUUCAACAAAUAAUUAAAAGUGGAGUGGUAAGAAUUUUCUAUUUAAACUUGUUGAUCCCUAAAUAAUGUUAUUUAGUUGUUUUAUUUUAUAUGUUAUAUAAAGGUAUGAAAUAACAAAAAUACUCUUACAAUAAUGUUAUUUAGUUGUUUUAUUUUAUAUGUCAUAUAAAAGUAUGAAAAUAUGAAAUAACAAAAAUACUCUUAGAGUAAUAUUAAUAGCCCUUUAAAAUAAGGAUGUUUUAAUAAUUUCAUAACCAAAAUUGACUUGUGAACCUUUUUUAUAUAUAAUAGAUAUAUCACAUAAUGAGCUUAUGAGUUACGUCUUACAUAAAUUUGGUUGAACUUAACUAGACCUGAUCAUGCGUCGAGUCAGGAUGGGCUGAUUUUAAGGUGUUUAAGUUCAUUUUCUAGGCUUGGUCCAGCCCCAAAAAUGGGCAAAAAAUUUCGCCCAAGCUCGGCCCGAAUAAAAAAAAUGCUAAAUUCGAGCUUGACUUGGCCCACCUAUAUUAACUUUUUAAAAUUAUUUUUCAUAUUAUUUUUAAAAAAAUAUAAUACAUUAAAUACACUAAAAAUAUUAAAAUAAAUAUUUCUCAAUAUAUUGAAAAUACAUUAAAAAAGUCUUUAAUAUAUAUAACUAUAUGCAAUUAAUAUAAUUGUUUUCAUAAUGUAAUGCAUUUAGGCGGAACUAGGCUCGGGCAAAAAAAUCUUACCUGAGAUCCGGCCCAUUUAAAAAACAAGUCUUAAUUUUUGUCCAAAUUCAGUUUUCAAGUAUAUAUUUUUGCCUAAACCCUCCUAGAUUUCAAACGAGCCUUUGUGCCUAGGCGGGUGUCCUACCCAUAAUCAGGUUUAGAAAUGCUUAUGGCUCAGGUUCAGGCAAGGUACCUAAACCAAUUUUCCAAGCCCAAGCUCAACCCGACCCAAAAAAUAGGCAUGUUUUUUUGCUCAAGCCCGACUCAAUUUAAGAAAAGUAAAUCCAUGUCUGACUCGACCAUAUAUAAACUUUUUAGAUUAGUUUUUAUUUAAAAAAUAAAUUUUUAAAAAUAUAAUACACUAAAUGUACUAAAAAAACUAAAAUAAAAAUUUUCUAUAACAUUAAAAAUGCAUUAAAAAUAUUUAUAUUAAAAAAAAUAAUGUGAAUAUAAUAAAUAUUUUAUUAUAUUAAAAACAUAAAUAAAUAUAAUAAAUAUUUUAUUGUAUUAAAUAUAAUUUUUAAAAUUUUAUAUUUUAAGUUAUGUUAUUUAAUUGGAUAAGUUUUUUUUUUAAUUUUUGAGUAAUAAAAUUAAAUAUUAUUGAAUUACUGAUUUAAUAUAAAUAUAUAAUUAUUAUUUAACAUAUAUAUAUAUAACUAAUAUAAUAUUUUUUAUAACAAUAUAUAUUCUAACCAAGUCAAAUCGGACCAAAAAAUUCUCAACUAAACUCAACCAAUAUAAAAGACAAAGCUUCAAAUCUUAUCCAAAUUCAUCUUUGAGAACAUAUAUUUUGUACAAAGCCAAGCCUUAUUCGAACGGGCCUGUACCGAUGAUCAUGAGCAGGUCCAAACCCAACUUAACGGGACUCAUCAACAUCUCUCUAACCGAAUAAGAAGUGGGUAAAAUAAAGAAACAAAAUUCCAAUCAGAUUAAAGGCAGCACUAACAAAUACAGUGAAGAGGGAGCUCAGCUUUCCCAGCACAGCCAUGGCGAUUGUUCUCUCGAUUCAACACCUUCCUAAAAUGACCCUAAAUCCCAUCGCUGUCCUCAGCGAACCUCGCAAAACGAGAGUUCCCUAUGAGCUCAAACAAGGGCAGUCACGUGUUUUCCAUCAGCUCCCCUCUGGUUUAAACAUGGAGGUUAUCGUUCAAAAGAGUGUCAAAGAGAAAAACCCAGAUUCGAGAAAGGGUCCAUUCAGCUUGGUGUUGGGCUGAACAUUGGUUGCCUUUCUUCUCAAAUUCUGGGUUUGAUUGCUUUGCCCUUAGCUUGCUUGAUCAGGUUAUAUAAUCUUCUUCUUUCUCUUCCCGCUCUUUAACAUUUUACUUUCUCUUUUCUCUUUGAAGCUCUAUUUCGAGUUAAAUUUAUUCUAUCUUUAAGUACAUGGUUGGCAUUUCUCAAAUGCCCCCAAAACUUCUCCUGUGAAUUUUGAGGACACGUAAUUGUACCAAUCAGAGCAAGGGCAUUUUCUCAGUUUGAUCCUCUUGGAUCAUAUUUCAUCUGCCUUUAAAAUUCGGAACCUUAAGGUGUAAGCUUGACUGGCAAUUUUCUCGCCUUAUAUUUAAACAUAUUAGAAUAUUUAUGAAGUUUCACUUGCAUGAAACUUUUAUUCGAAAAUGCUGCACUGAUUUCAACACUGUUUCUGUGUUAUGGGUAGGGUGAAAGCGAUACGCCUUCCGGAACUGUUGCUGGUUCUCUUCAGGUAAUUGUCGUUUGGCUGGAAAAUAGAAAUGACAAUGUAUAAUGCAGUUUCGAACAUUUGCGGAUGUCCGAUCUUGUUGUUUGUGUAUUUAGAUGUUGUGCGAAUUCAGCACUAUCUACAAUAGAUUCAGAGCUGAUGCGGAUAUCAAUAGUCAAAUCUUUGUUAUUUGGAUCUGCUUUACUUUUGCAGAUAACGGAUUCAGAUCUCCAAAACUGUUAUACUGUAGUGAAUAAUGGAAUAAUGGAUUCGGAUUUGAAUAUCCGAAUCAUUAUCCGCUUUUCUUUUCGAUUUUUUUAAUUAAAAAGUUGUUUUGACUUGGUAAAUUUGAAUAUUCAGUGGAUUCGAGUAUUAGGCAAGUAAUGUUAUCUAAAUUGAAUUCAGAUAGGAUGGUAAUACUAAUAAUCGGAUUUAAUGUGGAUUAUAAACAGGUUAGAGUCUUAAAGCAAUUUUAUGGAUUCAGUUUUUACAAAAUUUGCAGAUAUCUAACUUCUUGUCACCCUAUUGAAAAAUAAUUCCUUUGACAUGAUAAUGCUUUUUCUUUUAUUUUUUUUUUAACUCUUUCUAAAAGCAAUUGAUUAUAUUAAAGGUUCCUCCUCUAAUUCGCUGUUCACUCAUAAUCCAUAGACACAUGCAGGUGAUGUUGCGGAUUUUAUCGAGAGGAACCUCAGCUUGCCGCCGGUUUUACUCGGACAUUCAUUUGGAGGCCUUAUUAUCCAGUAUUACCUUGCAAAUAUGAGAAAUGAACUACAUUAUGGUAAAUUCCUAUGCAUCUGGUUCUAUUAUUUUUCUUAAGUAUUCAUUUUUGACACUAAUAUCCAACACAUAUUCAUCUACAAGUACAGAGUAUGGUUUUUCAAAUAUGUGAAAAAACAGAAAAAUUUACCAUUCUGUAAUAGACGCAUAUCUAAUUUCAACAUUCAUCUCCGGUUUUGAGUGAUAUGGUGGUUUAUACUGAUGAAUAACAAGGCAUAAGUGAAAGUUUGUGUAGUGUAUAAGCAUUUCUUAAGCUAGAUUUACCUUUCCAAAGAUACGAGCCAUCAUUUCUUUUUCCCUUUUUUCAGUUGAGAAACUUUCAAAAUAGUGAUUGCAUUGGAUUCACAUCCUGAACAGAUAAGAAUCAUCAAUUCCUACUGUUUCAUAGUUGAGAAUCCUUUAUGAUAUCUACACUUUUCUCUAGAAAUCUUUUGAUUGAUUGUAAAUCAUGUUAUUGUUGGAUAUAGGUAUGUGUCUGACAAGGGUAUAUUCAAUUUUUGAACAUUUUUUUAAAUGUAUUUGUAGAGUUAUAUCAUACUCAUCCUAAUAAGUGUAAGCCACAUUUUGAACACGAAUACUUAAGAAAAUUGAAAAGUCGAAGAAACAUAGUUAUAAGUCAUAUAUGAAAUCUAGUUAUGUGCCACAAGGGACAUUGUAUGCACCCGCUUUGAAACUUGAACUGAUACAUGAGUUUCCAACUUCACCUUGGCCUUCUGAAGUGUGCAGUGUGCUUUGGAACACUAAAAGUCUUCAUUUCAUCAAAUUGGUCUUGAUUGAUUCAGUCUAUGUCGCACAAAUUCUUAUUUUUAUAUAGGGUAAACUACUUAGUUGGUCACCCAACUUUUAGGGCGUUUUCAUUUUGGUCACCCAAAGUGAAAUCCUUGCAAUUCGUCACGCAACUUUUAGGGUGCUUUCAUUUUAGUCACCCAACCGUUAAAUCUCUAACGGCGGUUACUUGCAUAUGCUAUAUCAUGAUCACACUUUCGUUUUGGUCUCUCAACUUUUAGGUCACCCAAAAAAACAUCUUUUUUUUUUUCAAGUAUUGAUUGGGGCAAAAAAAAAAGUUGAGGAUUAAAGUGAAAAAAUGGUAGAAACUAAAAUAAAAUAUUAAAAAUUUGUCAAAUUGUACUUGUUUAUCAUAUUGCUGAAAAUUCUAAUUUUUCUUUCAAUAUUGAAAUCUUAAAUUUCAAAACAUAAAAAUCAAUUAAAUAAAUUGUUGAAAAUUUUUUAUCCCUUGAUCAUAUUAAUAGGUUUGUUACUAUGAUAUUGAAGUUAAUUAAAUUAAUCUCCUAAAUUUUAAAUUUUUAUUUUAUGUUUUCAUAUUAUUCUUAAUGAAAUCAACUCGAUAACUCAUAUUUAAUAAUUGUUUACAAAACUUAAAUUUCUUUUGAUUGUAUAAUCUUUAAUCUUUUAUACCAAGCUAAAAGUAAAGAAAAAUAAUUGCAAUUAAUUAAAUUAAAUGUUCAUUCUUCAUUUACGUAAAGAAGUAAUAAAAAAAUUUUGGGUUUCGUUUGGUAUGGAAUAUAAAAUUAAUUAAUUUAAGUAAUUGUAAUGAUUUUUCUUUGUUUUUAGUUUAGUAUGAAAGACUCAAGAUCAUAUAAUCAAAAGAAAUUUGGGUUUCAUAUACAAUUAUUAAAGAUGAUUUAUUUGAGUUGACACUAUCAAGGGUUAAAAAAUUUUCAAUAACUUAUUUAAUUGAUUUUGAUGUUUCAAAAUUUAAAAUUUCAAUGUUGAAAAAAAUUUAGAACUUACGGCAAGAGGGUAAACAAGUAGAAUUUUUAAAGCAUUAUUUUAGUUUGUACCAUUUUUUCACUUUAAUCCGUAAUGAUUUUUACCUGAUCAAUAUUAAAAAGAAUGAUAUUUUCUAGGUGACCAAAAUGAAAGCAACUUAGAAGUUAGGUGACCAAAAUGAAAGUGUGAACGUGGUGUGUACCGGGUAACUGCCGUUAGAGAUUUAACGGUUGGGUGACUAAAAUGAAAACACCCUAAAAGUUGAGUGACGAAAUUGCAAGAACUUUAUUUUAGGGGACUAAAAUAAAAGCGUCAUAAAAGUUGAGUGACCUACUAGAUAGUUUACCCUUAAAUAUAUAUAUUUGAAAGUAUUCAAGUUUGACACUCUCACCAACACAUAGGUAUGGGAAUACGAGUUCGGAAAAGUUUAAAAAGAAUCUAACAAGACCCAUGUCAAACACAUAUCCGUAUCUGACACAACCGAGUCUGAAUAACAUAUUUAGUGAUCCUAGAAAAAGAGAGCAUUUUCUUACACUGUGUUUCUUCUUAUGCUGAUCGAAAUGUUUCUAGAAAUGCAAAAUUUGUACCCCAAACUUACAGGUGCUGCGUUAAUCUACUCUGCUCCUCCUUCGGGUAAUAGGUGAUUUUUCUUGCAAUCUAACUCUUAUUUUUCAUCGAAGUAACUUUCCAAUGCUAACUUUUACAAUUUUAUUCAGUGGCUUAGUGUGGCGCUAUCUCUUUUCCAAACCCAUUGCCGCUUUUAAGGUAAGCUUUUGGAUUUUGAGUACAUCAAUCUGAAAACAUGCCUUUCACUCUCUGUGUGGACUAGGAGUGUGAACAAGAAAUUUGAGUUCUCAAAUUAUUUGGGUUCAGUUAGGAAAAUUUGAAUUCAGCUUGGCCAUUGUCUAGCAGAACCCGAACUAUCAAACAAAUUGAAUUCAAGUAGUCAAGUUUUUCAUGAUGUCAUACAAUUUAUUUUUAAUUUUUGUUCCAUCCCCUAUGCAGGUGACUCGUAGCCUAGCUGCUAAAGCUUUUCAAACUUCGCUGUCCCUUUGUAGGGAGACCUUCUUCUCAGCUACAAUGGAGGAUAAUUUGGUGCUACGGUUUGUUUCAUGAACCUCCUAAUCAUAUAUAUGAACUUUCAUCUCUGUCUCUCUCACAUAAAUGAAUAAGAUAUUAAAUGGAAUUGUGAAGUUGCAAUUUUUCUGUUCAUAAUUGAUAAAAUCUCAUUGAAAAUCAAUUGUGCAACCACCUAUUAGUAAUGCAUAGCUAAGUGAUCCCAUGGAUAACUAUUGGUGAUAUCUAUCAACCAAAAAUAUAUAUUGGUAAUAUCUAGAGAAAGAUGUCUAGAACCUCAAGAAUAUCUACCUAAUUUCUUGAAAGCUAUGUUGCUCAGAUUUGGGUUUUAGUGUCAGAUACGGUAUGUUUUGAACUCAAGUAUAUUCAAUUGUUUAAAAUUUGGGGAGUCUUUGGAGAGUGAUAUCUCCAUACUCAUUCAAAUUUGCAUCACAUAUGGUUACAUUGCUUUAACUCUUCAUUAUUCUUGAAGUACCCUUGUUUGACACUCACGUUCAAUACAUAGUUGAUCGUAGGACAUGGGCAUGUGGAGAUAUGAACAUCCAAGGACCUUUCAAUUAUAUGGAAAAACCAGGAAAGAAAAUUGAACAUAAUCCUGUUAGACAUAUAUCUGUAUCUAACACUUUACAUCCAAGUUCGAGUGACAUAAAGGCACGGAUGCUUCAAAAAAAUAACGAGUCUGAGCAGAAUAGCUUGAUAGAAGGAUAUAAAUCUUCUUAUCAGAAUAACAUUUCACACUUACUAAAGAAAAGGUUAAUAUUGUUUUCACACUACAUGCUUAUUCCAAUGUACCAAAAAUUGUAUUGCAAAUCAACUGAAAUUGUUGACUCAGCCUUUUGACUUUUUUUCCCUCUUUCAGUUAUCAGGAGCUAAUGAAAGAAAGCUCGAGGGUGCCAUUGUUUGAUCUACGGAAGUUGAAUGAGUCACUUCCUGUGCCUAAAAUGACUGACUGUUCAACUGAAAUUCUUGUGUUGGGUGCAAAAGAUGACUUCAUUGUGGUAAAUCCUGUAUAAAUUAAUUUAUGCAUUUCUGAUUUUCCAUCAUGCUUUCCUUUUUCUCGUAUCUUAUAUCAAAGGCUGCAAAUAUAUGAGAAUAUUGUGCAUAUAAGAAAAGUUACGUGGUCGUGCCUGGGAUCUCUGUUACUUGGACCUAUCAGAUACUAGUAUGUGUCUGACAUGAUUAUGUACAAUUCUCCUUACCAUACCCGAAUAUGCAUUGAAUAUGGAGUCCAACACGGGUAUUUCAAAAAAUAAAAUGUACAGUCGGAGUAUCAUAGUAUGAGAUUAUUACUUUAGAUCAUUUUAGGACCCCUUCUCCUUGUUUAUAGAUGGAUAUAUCAUAUAUGUAAAUGUAGGACGCAGAAGGACUCAAUGAGACUGGGAGAUUUUACAAUGUGAAAUCGAUAUGUAUCGAAGGAGUUGCGCAUGACAUGAUGUUGGAUUGUUCGUGGGGGGAAGGUGCUAAUGUCAUACUAUCAUGGCUAAAUGGUUUGAACAGAUAACAGUCUAAAAUAUCCAAAUUUGUAUUAUCCAUUCUCAUCACCAAGUUUUUUUUUUUUUUUUGCAGUUUGGUCAUUGUUAGGGUAUAUUCAAAUUUUAUGUUACACAAUAUUAGGGUUCAUUUCAGGCAUUUUUUUUUAUUCUUUUUGAAAGAUUUUUUGCAAUAAUUUAUUUGAGCAGCAAAAAGAAAAUGCCUUUUUAUAACUAACCCAAUGUUUAGCCCAUUUGGUUUAUAAACCCACCUUUUAGGUGAUGUUUAAACAUUGGUUAACAUUUCCCUCGUUGGGUUAAUUCGUUGGGUUAAUUCGAGGGUUUAUGCGGAAGACUUAUAAGGAUAUUACACAAGUAAAGGAAAGUUUUACAAAGAAAAGCUAAAAAGGAAAAAGAUACUAUAAAAGAUUGAUGCCUAUGCAAUUGAUUUCCUUCCUUUAUUUAUAGUUGAAUUUCUUAAUUCUAUACAAUUGUUUUUUGAAUCCCACACAGUAUUCCUGAUAAAGAUCCUAUCUUUUCGUGGAUGUGGUUAUUUUCACGUUGUACUUCUUUAAUUGCCUGCACUUGGUUGCUUUCAGGUUGCAUGGUUGAAUUGAUUGUAAUCUGACAUCAUUAAUGGUUGCUUUCAUCAUUGAUUGCGUCAUAGUUGUUUUGUUGUGUUCAUCUUACAAACUUUUUUGUUUGUUUGUGGUUGUCACAUCAUAAAUUUUAUGUUGUCAAACUUUUUGUUUGCUAGUGGAUGCCUUUCUUUUUGAGUUGCUUCCUUUCUUGGUAUCAGUCUUUUUUGGUUUUAUUCUUCUUUGAUGUUGUCUAGAUUCAUUUCUUCAAUUUCAUCCAAAUUUAAUGAAUCAAAUGAAAGUCUUGGUGAAUUCCAGUUCUCCCAUGUGCUUCUGAUUUUUUUCAGAAUGUGAGAUGGAAAAUCUUCAAUUUCUAUGUCGGCUAUCUUUUUUAAAAGUCUCAUGAAUUCUUCAUCUCUUUCUUCAGAAUGAUAUGCUAAAGAAUGAUAUGCCAAUAUUCUUCUACCAUCGGUCCAGAGUCUAUAAUCUUUUUAUUGAAGGAGAUAUUUGACUUUAGCUAUUAAAUCAAUCUCGGUUUGGGUUUGAUAAUAAUCUAAAUCAUUGUGACACCUGUCAAUUAUUGUUGCCAAGUGUUCUUUAUUUUCUUUAACAGUAGAUAACUGAGGGCUUGCAAUUAUCUUCUAAAUAAUCCAUAUUUGAUAAGGCUGAUAAUUUUUUUUCAGCAAUACUAAUAAGACUGCAUAUUUGAAUAUAAAAAUAGUAAAAAAAGUCAUCAUUUUGUAUGAUGCUUGAUAAUGCCGUUUUAACAACUGGAAAAUCUUUUAAAAGAUGAAAAGAAAAAUUUUGUAUUAUUAUUUCUUUUAUAAAAUUCCAUUCAAUACUGGUUAUAUCGAACGAUUCAUGAUCUAAUCUAAAUUUGAUAGUAGGAAUCUCUUCUCCUAUAUCAUUAGUAAAAAUAUAAGCUUGUAGAAAAUAUUUUGAAAAUACUUUUUUAAAUAGAGCUUGCUAUUUGCAAAGGUCUCCAUUUAUUUUGUUAAAUAUUUUUAUAGGUAAAAUAUUUCUAGCUUUAUUGUAUAAGCAUAUUCUAAAUUCUUUAUUCAUAAUGAGACUAUUUUUCGUUUUAUCAAUAAAAUAUUAAAAUAUAUCAAGAAGAUUGUUUAUUUCUUUAAUUUCCAUAAAAUAUAUUUGGAAUUCAUCCUAAUCCCUAUAUAAAAUAGAUUUUAAUAGUAAAUCUUCAGCUUUAUUUUCUUUAGUUGUUUUUUUAACUAAAAAUAAUGAAUGCUUACUAAGAGCUCUUGUGAAAUUUGCUCUUUGGUCAGAAACAUGAGUUUUCCAUAUUUCAUAGUAAACUUGUGAUAAACUAGGAUUAUAAAAAUCUUUUAUCUCUUGAAUUUGUUAUUGUUUCAACAAAUUCUCUGCUCCCUUAAUCAUAUCAGCAUAGUUGGCUUGAAAUGCCGAAUUUGGAUUUUGGGAUCAUUGUGAUUGACUUACCAUUUUUUGUGUAAAUGAUAAAGAAGUUCCAAUAGGUUGAUUUACCAUUGGAUAAGGCACACAAUAUCCUUGAUUAGGAUAAAAUGGUACUUGUGCAGGUACAAAUCAUUGUUUGGAAUUUGUUGUUAUUUUCCCUUUGUUGGGUUUUAAUGAACAGUCGUCCAUUCUCUAACUAUUUCUUUUAUUAGAGGUUUUUUACCUCUAUUCAUAAGGCCUGCUAAGAUAAUCAGCAAUAAUGUUAUCAGUACUUUUUACAUAUAAAACUCCAAAAUUAAAAGUAAAUAAUUCGUUAUACCACCUAAUUUUUUUAGGUACAGUUUUCAAACUUUUAUUAGUAAGGAAUUGUUUGACUGCUUGAUUAUCAAUUUUUAUAAUAAAAUUUUUAGGUGCCAAAUAUAUAAGGUAAUUUUUUAUUCCUUUUUUUAUUGCUAAUAAUUCUUUUUCUAUAUAAUAUAAUUAAUUUCAUUUGCUUUAAAUUUUCUAAAACUAUAUCCACAUAUUAAUUCGUCAUUAUUGACUGUUUUAGCUAUUAAAACACAUCCCCAAUAAUUUUGUGAUGCGUCUGUUUCUAGAAUUAAUUUAUCUCAUUGUUUAGGUAAAUAUAAAUUUAGAAUUUUAUUUAUCUCAGAUUUUAGAUUUUUUACAAUUUCUGAGUUUUUUUAGAUCAAAUGAAAGGUUUUUCCUUUUUUUAUUUAUCAUAUAACUUACCUAUUUUUUCAGCUAAAUUAGAAAAGAAAUUUCUUCCGUAGUUAAUAAUUCCUAAAAAUUGAAGUUGUUUUUUGUCUUCAAUAUUUUUAGGAAAUUCUUUUAUUUUUAUUAUAAUAUGGUCUUGUAGUUGAAGACCAUUUACAGAUAGUCUUAAUCCUAAAAUUUCUAUUUUUGUUUUUUCUAGCUCUAUCUUUUUAGGGUUUAAAAUAAUUCCAUAUUUUAUGAAUUCUUGAGAUAUAAUAUUUAAAUCUUUUCUAUGUUUCUCUAAUGUAUCAGAGAAAAUUAAAAUAUCAUCUAUAUAAACUACACAAAUUUUUUUAUAUUUAUUAAAUAUAGAAUCCAUCCAUCUUUGGAAGAUUUGUGGUGCAUUACAUAACUCAGAUGGCAUUACUCUCCAUUGAUAAUGUCCAUUAGGAGCACUAAAAGCUGUUAAAGGUUUUGAUUCUUCAGUUAGCAUUAUUUGCUAAAAUCCCAAUUUAUAAUUAAAUUUACUAAAAUAUUUUACUUGUUUAGAUUGAUUUAUUAAAAUAUCUUUUUUUUUGGAAUAAAAUAUCCAUAAAAAAUAAUAUUUUGAUUUAUUCUUUUAUAAUUAAUAACCAUUCUAACUUUUCCUCUUUUUAUUUUAGCAUGGUUUCUUACCAUAAAAGAUGGACUAGAAUGCGGACUAUUAGUUUUUUUAUUAAAUAUUUUUCUAAUAAUUCAUUAAUUUGAAUGUCAAAUUCAUCUAUAUCUUGUUUAGUAUAGAUCGUAGGUUUAACUCUAAUAAUUUUAUUGAGAUUUUUCAAUUUAAUUUCAUAGUAUCUAGGACUAUUUUGCCAUAAUUUUAAUGGUUCUUCACUAAAAUUAUCCUCUAAAAUUUUAAACAACCAAUGAUUUCUUUCUAGUUGUUUAAUCUGCUCUUUUCUUGGUGGUGUAAAAUUUUUAUCACACACAAACUUAUGGUUUUCUACCAAUGGUAUUUCUAUAGAAGAUUUUUCUAUAGUUAAUCUAACCGAUUUUUUAUCAAUAGAAAAUGGUAAAUGUUGAUAUAUAAAAUUAUUUCCUAAUAAUAUGUCUCCAUGCAUUUCAGGGGAACAUAAAAUUUUUGAUAUUACAAAUGUAACAUUACAUUAUUUAUGUAGAUUGGUAUAUUUUUAGCUUUAUAUUCAAUUAUGGUUUCAUUACCAUCUAUCCCUAUUGCCUUUAUAGGAUGUCUUAUAGGUUUCCAUUUUUCUACAAGAAUAACAUUUUUUCUACAACUACUGGUUGUAGCUCUAAUAUCUAAUAAAGCAUGUAAAGAAUAUGUUUUAUAUUCUCUAAAUUGAAAUAUAAUUUCAAUAUAUGUAUAAUAUUUCUUUGAUUGAAAACUUGAGAAUGUAAUUAUAUCAUUUUUUUUUCAACUUUUAGUUGUCUAAUAAUUGUUGAAGUUUGUAUUUCUUCCAAUCUAGUUUUUCUAGAUUUUUUAUCUAAUUUUUCUUUUACUCUUAUUUUAUCAAAAUAACUACAAAAUUUUUGGAUAAAUAUUAGUUUUUUUAUCAGUAUAACCACAAAAUUCUGUUUUUAGAAUAAGAGUUAAUCCUUUUAAAAGGUCGUUGAGAGUUUCUAUUUGGUUGAUUAACUGGCUUUUUUGUUCUUUUCCUUUCUCAGAUUCUUCUGUAGAACAUCUCUUUGAAAUGUUUCUACAAAGUAGUUUAAAAAAUUUUCUUUUGACCAUGUAUUGUUGUUUACUACAAUAGUCAUAGACUGUGCCCAAUCAUCUAUGAUUUUUUCAUAGUUCGAUAUAGGAGUAUUGGUUAAGUCUAAAUAUAUUCCUCAUUGAGCCACAUUUCUUUUAUUUAAAUUAUCUAUUCUUUGAUGAAUAGGUUGACUAGACGUUUCUCCUGGAUAUUCAGGUUUUACAUCAUUUGUAGCUAUAUUUUCGAUUUUAUUAUAAAAAAUCCUAGUUGUAUUUUUUACUUUUUCAAAAUCUUUAUUAAAAGUUAUCAUAUAAUCAUCUUUUUGAAGAUCUGAUUCUAUUUUUCUUUUUCCAUAAGGAUCUAUUUGUUUAGUAUCCAUAAGUUCUGGGAUAUCUAUAUUUUCAUCCUCAUCAAUUGAAGUGUUUUCUUCAUCUGAUUUAUAACUAGUAACUUUUAAAUUUUCUAGAUUUGUUUCUAAAGUUAAUUCAGAAUUACUAGAACUACUACUGUCUGUAGUGUCAUAGUUCAUAAUAUAAUGAUAAUUAAACAAAGUAAACAAAUCUUUAUGUUCUUCAUAAAGUUGUUCAAUAAGUUUUAAAUAUUCUACUCUUUCUAAUUUAUCUUUACUAUUAGUAAAUUUAUAUUUCCAAUGUUCUAUAAGUUCUUUAUAGGACUAGAAAUCAUAUUUUUAUUGUUUUGUAUAUUUUCUUUUUUUAUGAUUUUUAUGUUUUUUAUGAUUAGAUGACGAUUCAUCUGAUGAAGUUUCUUCUUCUUCAGAUAAAGUUACUAUUAUGUCACUAUUACCAUAAUAUAAAGGACCUAAAUCUACUUCUUGAUUUAUAUUAUUAUUAUUAUUAUUAUUAUUAUUAUUAACUUUUUCUAAGUUAUAAUUAACACUAGAUAAUAUUUCUUUAGAUUUGCUAUUCAAAUCUAAAUUUUUUACUUCUCCUAAAAUAUUUACUUUUUGUUCUCUAUUACUAACCUUAUUAAAUAAUUUAUGAAAAUAUACAGAAGUUAUAUCUACUAAACUAUUAAAACCCUUACUCAGAGAUGAAAUGUUAUUUUCAUUCUUAGAGUCUAUAUGCAUAGUAUGAUUACAAGUUUUAUCUUUAUAUAAACAGUCAAUUUCCUUUAUAUUAUUUAUCUCAAGUACCUAAAACCGUCUGUUAUCUAUAAUGUCUUCUCUCAAAGGCCUACACGUCCUCCUUGGGCUCAACGGCAACAGAAAGACAAAAUAACUGAUAUAUGGGUUUUGAGACAAAUAAGCAUAAAAUAAACAACACUAUAAAUUAAAGAUAAAAACUUACAAUGAAUACUAUGAUAUUAUUUCUCCAAGAAAUCGUUAAACCGGCACCUCUGAUAUUAUAAUAGUUGUUCUUUUAGAUAAAAGAUUUGAAAAUUCAAUAAAAACACUUAUUGGAGGAAUUCAGUCUAAUUUACAUACAGGUGUAAUAAGAUUUAAGGUUAAACCAAAUUACUUUAUAUCCAUUACAGAUCCUCUAAUAGAAGAGUGUCUAUGCCUUAGAAUUCAGACAAAAAAUUCUGAUAUUAAUGAUUUAGCAGAAGAUCUAGCAAUAAGUUGGACUUCUAUUAAUGAAUAUACAAAUACAACUGAAGUACAAAUAAAAGAAAUUAAUAACAAAAUUAUUGAACUUUUUGAACCUAAUAAAUUUACUAUCGAGAUACAGUCAAAACUAUUUCAUUUAAGAGAUCUAUCAAUACCAAAAGACUAGAUGAUAGAAAAAAUUAGUAGUGCAAGUACUUCUACACCAGUAAGUACUAUAGAAUAUAUGUCAUCUGGAAAUAGAUUAUAUUUUAAAAAUAAUACUAUAACAAAUACAGAUGAAAAUUUAAUGUUACCCUCAAAUAAUCCAAUAGAGGAAGAUGAGGAUAAUAUUAGUAAUAAUUCUACACCAAUAGGAAAAAUAGUACAUAUUCCUAUUUUCCUUACAGAACCAAGUAAAAAUUAUAGAAAUACUAGAAUGGAAGAAAUUCAAACUUCAGCAAUUGUUAAACCAAUUAAUGUUGGAAUAUAUAUUGAAAUUACAUUUCAAUUUAGAGAAUAUAAAAAAUAUUCUUUACAUGCUUUAUUAGAUACUGGAGCUACAAUUUGUAGUUGUAAAAAAAAUGUUAUUCCGAUAAAAAAUUAGAAAUUAAUGAAGCAUCCUAUAAAAAUAGUAGGAAUAGACGGUAAUAAAAUCAUAAUUAAUUAUAAAGCUAAAAAUAUACCAAUCUACAUAAAUAAUGUUAGAUUUGUAAUACAAAAAAUUCAAUGUUUCCCUAAAAUGCAAGGAGACAUAUUAUUAGGUAAUAACUUUAUAUGUCAAUAUUUACCAUUUACUAUUGAUAAAAAAUCAAUUAGAUUAACUAUAAAAAAUCUUCUAUAGAAAUACCAUUAGUAGAUAAUAAAAUUGUGUAAUAAAACUUUUACACCAUUAAAAGAAUAAAUCAUGUACUUUUAUAAAGUACUAAUAAUUUGUUGAUUAUCUUAGCAGGCCUUAUGUAUAAAAGUAAAAAAAAAAUCUCUAAUAAAAGAAAUAGUUGGAGAAUAGACGACUGUUCAUAAAAAGCCCAACAAAGGAAAAAUAACAAUAAAUUCCAAACAAUGAUUUGUACUUGCACAAGUACCAUUUUAUCCUAAUCAAUGAUAUUAUGUGCCGUAUCCAAUGGUAAAUCAACCUAUUGAAACUUUUUUAUCAUUGACACCAAAAAUGGUAAGUCAAUCACAAUGGUCCCAAGAUCCAAAUUCGGCAUUUUAAGCCAGCUAUACUGAUAUGAUUAAGGGAGCAGAGAAUUUGUUGAAGCUGUUGAAACAACAACAAAUUCAAGAGAUAAAAGAUUUUUAUAAUCCUAGUUUAUCACAAGUUUACUAAUGAAAUAUGGAAAACCCAUGUUUCUGACCAAAGAGCAAAUUUCAGAAGAGCUCUUAGUAAGCAUUCAUUAUUUUUAGUUGAAAAAACAACUAAAGAAAAUAAACCUGAAGAUUUACUAUUAAAAUCUAUUUUAUAUAGGGAUUGGGAUGAAUUCCAAAUAUAUUUUAUGAAAAUUAAGGAGAUAAGCAAUCUUCUUGAUAUAUUUUAAUAUUUUAUUGAUAAAGCGAAAAAUAGUCCCAUUAUGAAUAAAGUAUUUAGAAUAUGCUUAUACAAUAAAGUUAGAAAUAUUUUACCUAUAAAAAUAUUUAACAAAAUAAAUGGAGACCUUUGCAAACAGCAAGCUCCAUUUAAAAAAGUAUUUUCAGAAUAUUUUCUACAAGUUUAUAUUUUUACUAAUGAUAUAGGAGAAAAGAUUCCUACUAUCAAAUUUAGAUUAGAUCAUGAACCGUUCGAUAUAACUAGUAUUGAAUGGGUUUUAUAUAAGAAAUAAUAGUACAAAACUUUUCUUUUCAUUUUUUAAAAAAUUUUCCUGCAGUUGUUAAAACGACAUUAUCAAGCAUCAUACAAAAUGAUGACUUUUUCUAUUAUUUUUAUAUUCAAAUAUGCAGUCUUAUUGGUAUUGCUGAAAAAGAAAAGUUUUAUCAGCCUUAUCAAAUAUGGAUUAUUUAGAAGAUAAUUGCAAGCCCUCAGUUAUCUGCUGUUAAAGAAAAUAAAGAACACUUAGCAACAUACAAAAUGAUGACUUUUUCUAUUAUUUUUAUAUUCAAAUAUGCAGUCUUAUUGGUAUUGCUGAAAAAGAAAAGUUUUAUCAGCCUUAUCAAAUAUGGAUUAUUUAGAAGAUAAUUGCAAGCCCUCAGUUAUCUGCUGUUAAAGAAAAUAAAGAACACUUAGCAACAACAAUUGACAUGUGUCACAAUGAUUUAGAUUAUUAUCAAACCCAAGCUGGGAUUGAUUUAAUAGCUAAAACCAAAUAUCUUCUUCAACAAAAAGAUUAUAGACUCUGGACCGAUGGCAGAAGAAUAUUGGCAUAUCAUUCUGAAGAAAGAGAUGAAGAAUUCAUGAGACUAUUAAAAAAGAUAGCCGACAUAGAAAUUGAAGAUUUUCCAUCUCACAUUCUAGAAAAAAUCAAAAGCACAGGGAGAAUUGGAAUUCACCAAGACUUUCAUUUGAUUCAUUAAAUUUGGAUGAAAUUGAAGAAAUGAAUCUAGACAACAUCAAAGAAGGAUAAAGCCAAAAAAAACUGAUACCAAGAAAGAAAGCAACUCAAAAAGAAGGGCAUCCACUAGCAAACAAAAAGUUUGGCAACAUAAAAUCUAUGAUGUGACAACCACAAACAAACAAAAAAAAGUUUGUAAGAUGGACACAACAAAGCAGCUAUGAUGCAAUCAAUGAUGGAAACAACCAUUAUUGAUGUCAGAUUACAAUCAAUUCAACCAUACAACCUGGAAGCAACCAGGUGCAUGAAAUUAAAAAAGUACAACAUAGAAGUAAUCACAAUCACAAAAAGAUAGGAUCCUUAGCAGGAACACUAUGUAGGAUUCAAAAAAACAAUUGUAUAGAAUUAAGAAAUUCAACUAUAAAUAAAGGAAGGAAAUCAAUUGUAUAGGCAUCAAUCUUUUAUAGUAUCUUUUUUUCCUUUUUAGCUUUUCUUUGUAAAACUUUCCUUUCCUUUACUUUUGUAAUAUUCUUAUAAGUAUUCCGCAUAACCCCUCGCACUCUACCUUCCCCAGAAAUUGGUAUUAGAAUUUAACUAAAAACUCGUUAUAAAAUAAAUAAAUAUUAUUAGAGUUAUAUGAAUAAUUUAACUUUUUUGAAAGAAAAAAAAUGCCUCUUUUCCAUUUGAAAAAUCAAUACGUAUGAUAUUAUAAUCAGGCACUUAAUUCUUUUUAUUUUUCACGGUUGCGUCAUUGGGAUCUAACCGGUUUAAUUUUUAAAGCUAUAUAUCAUACCAUAAAAAUAGUAUUAAAAAAUACAACUCAAUAUUGGGAGUGAUUUCAGUUAUUUAUUUAUAUAUUAACAGAAUAUAUAUGCAGGUCCUAAAAUUACAUUAUAACCAUAAAAUGGCAGCAAAAGAAAGCAUAAAUAAAUGAAAAUAAAUAAUUUAUUUUACUCACUAAGGCUGCUGAAUGAUAAUGGCAGUAGGCGCCGGCAGUGUUCAUAAAUUCAUAGACCAUGAAAGAACCUGCUGUUGAUCCCCGCCCUAUAAAGUUGCAGCUCAGAUGUAGCCGCAGUAAUGACGAGCUCUGUGUUGGCUGGUUCGAACACCACAUCUCCUUCGGUAACAAUGCCUUCCCAACAUCCAGUUUUCAUUGUUCCUUCCCCAACAAAUGCGAGGAAGAUUGAAGGACCCGGGACGGCCGGGAAAACCACUGACGACCCCUUCGGAAGAACGCAACGAUCGACCUCAAACUCAUCAAACGGUGGGAGGUACCUUGUUAUGUAAGGACUCAAUGCAAGUCCCGAAAGGAUUUCAGGGUAGCCCUGCAACAUAAACGAUAUUAUGUUCUGAUUUUUAUUAGUUUUAUAUUAUAUUUUUAAUUCCAAUUAAAAAAAUCACCUUUUCUAAGUUUAGUUUUUUGGACAUGUCUACUUGAAGGUAAUUAAGAGUUAUAUUCUGACAUUCAUAUUUAGAUGUGUUGGGUAGUCAUUGUACCUGGUUAUAGGUGAGCAUAGAACAGAGGGUUUGGAUAUCACGAUGCUUGGGAGUGAGACCAGCUCGGACGACAUUGUCGGAGGUUGCCAUGCAUUCAACGCAGUCGCCACUUAAAUAAGCGUGGGGCUCAUUGGCCGCCAGAUACAAAGCUUCCCCUGGCUUAAGUUUCACGUAAUUGAAGAAGAAAGCCGAUAACACACCUAUGUCUCCGGGGUAUUGCUUUUCCAACAGCAACACCAACUCUUCUUUCUCCGUCAGACUCCUCAACUGUUGCCCAUAAAGCACAAAGAAAUAAACGGCAUAUGAGCAACAAUAUAGCUUCAAGUAGCAGUUAUCUUAAUGCCUAAUUUGAAUAGCUUGCGGUCCUAAUCAAGCACCAAUAAUCAAUGUUUAAGUUGAGCAUGGAAAUUGAACUCUUUGUCAGUUUUAAAAAUAAGUGAUUGAUAAUGAUGAAAUUAGUGCAGACCUGACUUUGUAGGAGUAGCCGACUUUUAAGUUUGGAUAUAGCUUUCGUGGUCAUCUCCUUGCUUGCAGACAUAAGUUGCGUAAAAACCGACCGCAGAGCAGUUUUAGCUUUGUCGGCAUUAUCGCCACCUCGCUCGUCAAUAUCCAUGACUUGCUUCGCCGAUGCAGUGCCGACCAAUUCUACUAUCUCCGGAACAUCUUCAAGCACUUCCUUAAGCUCCUGCGAGGAAAAAAGAACCCAUAUGGAUAGACAUUUGCCUCAAAUAGAUGAAUAUAGUUGACAGAAUCAUCGGAAAAUGAAGCAUAGUUUGAGCAUGUUACUUCUUUGACCAGAGUGACAAGACAAAAAGAUUGCUUUCUGUGAGUGAGAUUAGUUAAUGUAAUAAUAAAUUUAAAAUUAGUGGUGGGAUAUGUAUUUAAAUUUAAACAUAAUCAUGGUAAAAAUAGAGAAUACGUAUUAAAGAAAUUUAAGUUAAAUUUUAUGUAGAUAUAAAAUAAAUCCUUGGUAAUAUAAUUUUAUAUAUUUAAAUUGCAUUUAUGCUAAAUAAUAAUUUUAUUGAUAAAUAACUAAAAUUUUAUAAUAAUUCAUGUCUGUACUUAUUUUUAAGGCAUGUGAAGUGUGUGUAUAAUCCACCGGAGGGUGUGCUUUUACCAACAAUAGGUUCCUGCUCCAACGAGAAAUAAGAGCAGUGGUUAGGUAGCCCAAUUUCAGCACUCGUCCAAAUCAUAUUUUAACACCAAUGAUCAUAAAAAAUUAAUAAUAAUAAACUACAUUAUCACUCACUAAAUUAUAUCUAAGUUUACAUUUUUUUAUUACUAAAUUAUUCAAAAGUUUUUCACAACACUAUUAAAAUCAAAGCUAUAUAAUUUUCUCUGUUCAUGUUGCUUACACCUACUCCUCGGAGCUCGUUAAUAGAAUAUUUUUAAAAACAGACUUAAUAAUUGAAUGAAUUAAAUAAAAACUUUUUAAAAUCAAAUUAUUAUAAGUUAAAAGAGAAGGAUUCACCUGGAGAGUAAUGAAGCCACAAAGUGCCUUGAACUCAGUUAUAGCCAAAGCCAUCUCAGGUUUGUGAUUAGCAUCUUUGUACAGAUUGGGCUUCAUCUUAUGCAAUUCUUUGGCCAAUUCUUUAUCCGGAUGCGCCUGUAUUGACAGUGCUUUCCCCACUGACAGUACCUAUUUUUACACCAUUUCUGCUUUUAUUUCAUUUUAUU